rnacentral:rRNA from 1 species
UACAGAGGGUGCGAGCGUUGUUCGGAAUUAUUGGGCGUAAAGCGCAUGUAGGCGGGUUGUUAAGUCGCGUGUGAAAGCCCCGGGCUCAACCUGGGAAUUGCGGUUGAAACUGGCGAACUAGAAUCUGGCAGAGGGGGGUGGAAUUCCACGUGUAGCAGUGAAAUGCGUAGAGAUGUGGAGGAACACCGAUGGCGAAGGCAGCCCCCUGGGCGUGAGCAUUGACGCUCAGGCACGAAAGCGUGGGGAGCAAACAGGG